ACACCUAUUAAAAUGGCGGGGUUUUCAUUGUAUUCAAACAGCAAGGACACUGAGGGAUUAAUAAUAUCAACUCAUCAAGGCAUGGACAGAUGUGCAUCGUUGCUGAAAGCAUUGCUGAGUCCUAGAAAAGAUCAAAAUUACCCCCCAAAAGAAAAUGAUAAUCCAAAGACACCAAGACCUCGACCAAGACAGUUACCAUUAUCAGCAACAAGUUCCUCUAAAGCAGAGAGUAGGGGGAGGACUUGUGGUGGGCAGAGCCAUGAGAAUAUUGUCACCAAGCCAGUUCAAACAGUUAGUGACAAUAUGAGACAUUCUGCAAAUAAGAAGCAGGCACACAAAAACUGUAAAACUGUGAACACUGCUAAUACCAGGAAAAACAAGAAACAAGCAGGGCUGUUCCUCUCCAGCA